rnacentral:lncRNA from 1 species
UACAGAGCAGCUCUCUGAACACCCAUCACUGCUUUAGAAACAAAGCCGCCAAUUUAUAAAUGAUUAUGACCUACAUUUUAUAGGGAAAAUGUUUUUAAUGCUAGUCAUUUAUAUAAUGUGCUUUGAAGGAUUUGCUAGCCCACUCCUGUCACUUUUAGUACACUGGGACCUUUUCUAUGUAAUGUUUGCCUUUUAUUAUUGUAGCAAAGCACUUCAGUAGAAAGAAUUUUGCAACAAUAUGGGGGAAAUUUUUCAUUGUCGGGUUUGAAUUAUACUGGAUUUUAUCUGUCUAGUCUUACUUGUUUUUAUUUUAAUGCUGUCUGGAAGGGACCUUGGUACCCAAAUAAAGCAGGUUAACCUCAUUGCUUCAAGGGCAUACUGUGUAGUGCUGAGUUUCACCUGGGAAUCUGAUGACUUUGAAAAGAAAAACACGUUUAUAAAAAUUGUACAGACGAAAUUAAAUGUAUGACGGAAAUCCCGACGGUGGAGCGCGUUGGAUUUUCUGAGACAUAGUGUUAUUUUCCUGGAGUCCCUUAUGCCUUCUUUGUAUUCCAACCAAUAAAAGAAAACCUUGUUGUUGAAAGCGGUAGGCUGCUAGGAUAUUCUGAUUAUUCAGUAUUGCUUUCCCUGUCCUGGUCUCUGGCCCCUCUCAAUCGCUGUAAACUUUUGUUUCCUACUUCCUAUUGCUAAUUAAACAUGUACAUAAUGGAGAGGCUGUGUAUAGAACUGAAUGAAUUGGGUUGCUGUGCUUGAAUGGGUAGCUACAUGGAAAUAUUGGAUGGAUACGGAGAAUUCCUAAGAUGCCAGAGUAAAUUUACGUGGGAAGGGGUGUCUUCUCCUGGGAAGGCCGCAGCAGAUGGUCCCUGCACCCCAAGGGGGUCAGCGGAAGAAUCAGCUGCAAACUGCGUGUCAGGCACGCGGGGCCUCCCUUCCCUUCCCUUACAAUACGAGCACUAAAGUUCAGAAGUCUACUCAGGUGAAAUUCUUUGCAGUGAAACUUAACCACAUUGAAAUUUUCACUGCUAAAUGCUAUAUUUGUGAUAUUUUUAAAUACAAACUUUUACACUGCAGUCAGCAGCCUAAUGAUUGAAAUUUAGCCAAGAUAUUUUAAAAUAAUAGUUAUCCUCCAUGUAUAAUUGUUUUUAAACAAUUGGGAGGAUUUUCUGUUGAAAAAUUUUUUUAUCAUUGUUUUAAAAAAAAAAAAAA